UGCAGUCGAACGCGUUGGCCCAAUUGAUUGAUGGUGCUUGCACCUGAUUGAUUUUGGUCGCCAACGAGUGGCGGACGGGUGAGUAACACGUAGGUAACCUGCCCAGAAGCGGGGGACAACAUUUGGAAACAGAUGCUAAUACCGCAUAACAACGUUGUUCGCAUGAACAACGCUUAAAAGAUGGCUUCUCGCUAUCACUUCUGGAUGGACCUGCGGUGCAUUAGCUUGUUGGUGGGGUAACGGCCUACCAAGGCGAUGAUGCAUAGCCGAGUUGAGAGACUGAUCGGCCACAAUGGGACUGAGACACGGCCCAUACUCCUACGGGAGGCAGCAGUAGGGAAUCUUCCACAAUGGGCGCAAGCCUGAUGGAGCAACACCGCGUGAGUGAAGAAGGGUUUCGGCUCGUAAAGCUCUGUUGUUAAAGAAGAACACGUAUGAGAGUAACUGUUCAUACGUUGACGGUAUUUAACCAGAAAGUCACGGCUAACUACGUGCCAGCAGCCGCGGUAAUACGUAGGUGGCAAGCGUUAUCCGGAUUUAUUGGGCGUAAAGAGAGUGCAGGCGGUUUUCUAAGUCUGAUGUGAAAGCCUUCGGCUUAACCGGAGAAGUGCAUCGGAAACUGGAUAACUUGAGUGCAGAAGAGGGUAGUGGAACUCCAUGUGUAGCGGUGGAAUGCGUAGAUAUAUGGAAGAACACCAGUGGCGAAGGCGGCUACCUGGUCUGCAACUGACGCUGAGACUCGAAAGCAUGGGUAGCGAACAGGAUUAGAUACCCUGGUAGUCCAUGCCGUAAACGAUGAGUGCUAGG
rnacentral:rRNA from 1 species